rnacentral:rRNA from 1 species
UACGUAGGCAGCGAGCGUUGUUCGGAGUUACUGGGCGUAAAGGGUGUGUAGGCGGUUGUUUAAGUUUGGUGUGAAAUCUCCCGGCUCAACUGGGAGGGUGCGCCGAAUACUGAAUGACUAGAGUGCGGGAGAGGAAAGUGGAAUUCCUGGUGUAGCGGUGAAAUGCGCAGAUAUCAGGAAGAACACCCGUGGCUAAGGCGGUUCUCUAGUACGGUACUGACGCUGAGACGCGAAAGCGUGGGGAGCGAACAGG